rnacentral:rRNA from 1 species
CCUACGGGUGGCAGCAGUGAGGAAUAUUGGUCAAUGGGAGAGAUCCUGAACCAGCCAAGCCGCGUGAGUGAAGACGGCCCUAUGGGUUGUAAACCUCUUUUGUCGCAGAACAAAACCCGGGACGUGUCCCGGACUGCGUGUAUCCGAAGAAAAAGCAUCGGCUAACUCCGUGCCAGCCGCCUCGGUAAUACUGAGGAUGCGAGCGUUAUCCGGAUUUAUUGGGGUUAAAGGGUGCGUAGGCGGUCCGUUAAGUCAGCGGUAAAAUUGCGGGGCUAAACACCGACGAGACGUUGAUACUGGCAGACUUGAGUUGGCGAGAAGUACGCGGAAUGCGCGGUGUAGCGGUGAAAUGCAUAGAGAUCGCGCAGAACUACGAUUGCGAAGGCAGCGUACCGGCGCCAGACUGACGCUGAGGCACGAAAGCGUGGGGAUCGAACAGGAUUAGAUACCCCAGUAGUC